rnacentral:rRNA from 1 species
UACGGAGGAUGCAAGCGUUAUCCGGAUUUAUUGGGCGUAAAGCGUCCGCAGGUGGCUAUUCAAGUCUGCUGUCAAAGCUCGGAGCUUAACUCCGAAUCGGCGGUGGAAACUGAACAGCUAGAGUGCAGUAGGGGUAGAGGGAAUUCCCAGUGUUGCGGUGAAAUGCGUAGAGAUUGGGAAGAACACCGGUGGCGAAAGCGCUCUACUGGACUGCAACUGACACUCAGGGACGAAAGCUAGGGGAGCGAAUGGG